rnacentral:lncRNA from 1 species
CAGUGCUAAUGCCUGUUCUUGGAGGAAACAACAGAAUAUGAACCUGCGGAUCUCUGAAACACCAUCUCCUCGUAGAACCAGUGUCACAAGUUGAAGCACCUCAGACUUGCAGAGGAUUGCUUCUUUUUCAAGAUUGGAAGAAGAUUGGGCCUGAACUUAAAAACGUGCAGCUGAGGAGAACGGCUUUGUUAGCCUGCUGGAGCUGUUCUUCCUCAAAAGCUCAAGACUGCAGAAGCACCACGGAGCUGAAAGAUCAAGAGAACGUCGGGGUCCUGAAACAAACGGGAGGGUAAGAGAAAAUGUGCAGCCGAGAAACCUGGAUUGCCCUGUGAGGUGGAGGAGGAGGUGGCGGCGGUGAGAGGGGAAGCAACCCGUGCAGAGGAGAGGAGCUGUACCCCCACGUGGUAAGCUGCAGUGGGUGCCUCCAACCCCAAAGCACGCACACACUCACCGUGGGCAAGAUAAGGAAAUACUCCCAUUCUGAAUUCACUCUCUUUAGUGACUUCCUGCUUAAUUAAAGAUUUAGUUGUCCUUAGAAGCAACGCCAGUGCCUGCUCUCAUGUCGUCUAUUGAUGGUGUCUGCCAGGAUCCCGAUUGCCACAGCUCCCUCUGCGCUGCGGUGUGACACAGGGUUGAUAGGCUGUGUAAGUUCACGUUGUUACUCUUUGUGGRUUGCCAAACCAUGAAGACUGAGAAGCAAAUUGGACUUCUUCCAGUUCGAUUUUCAGAUUCUUGGUUUGAGUCUGUUCACCCUGGGGGCUCAAUCCAGUCCUAGGUGACAUCAGGGGCAGUGGCUGCAGGAUUGGGCCCUGCCAAGGG